CUCUGAAGAGAGAGUCAAAGACCGUGAAACCGCUCAGAGUAUAAGCCAAUGGAGCUUGGAAGGCUUCCGCAGGUGGCGUUCAUCAUACGUGGUGUUCUUAAGACCUUGAGUGUGGCUCGUCAGGCGUCAGAUUUGAGUAUGCCAGGUUAGUCGUCGUGCGGGGGGUUCGGCUUGGAGGUCUUGUAAGCAUUUGCUGAAUUCCUCUCUGUCGUCCCCUUUUGAAUGGGCGUUCAGAGCCUCUUGGUCUAAUGCGGUUAUGCCCACCACAGCACGUUGUGAGGUCACCCACAGGCUCAAACUGCCGAUCGCGUAUCCAGGACGAUGGCAACGAUGCGUUGUUGAUGAUGGCUCUACGGAGAGACUUCACUCACACGCGUGUCUAGUCCUGGGUCGGGCGGCGACCGAGAUAAACCUGGUAUGAUCCUCUUGCGACGAGCUGCUUUCUGGCCAGACCGACGCCCAGGCGCUUCCACUGUGCCGGAAGCGUCAAUCCCAGGCGGUGUGAACCCAGCUGCAUUAUGCAAGGUCUCUCAGCCGGGCGUUGGUCUGAGUGGUGUUAAGUCCAGCACCAUCGGUCACGUCUCGAAACACGGGCCAAGGAGUAUAGCAUGUGUGCAAGUCUAAGGGUCUCACAAAACCCGAAGGCGAAGUGAAAGCAAGACUGUGGCGGGGGAGCUACGGCAAACCCGCCGGCCUAGUGGCGCGUGCGUCGCAUGGCUUUUAGCAGAGCUGAUCCUGUUUUCUCGGUUAAUUCUUGGUGCAGGCGC
rnacentral:rRNA from 1 species